UACGGAGGGGGCUAGCGUUGUUCGGAAUUACUGGGCGUAAAGCGCGCGUAGGCGGCUUUGUAAGUUAGAGGUGAAAGCCCGGAGCUUAACUCCGGAACUGCCUUUAAGACUGCAUCGCUAGAAUUGUGGAGAGGUAAGUGGAAUUCCGAGUGUAGAGGUGAAAUUCGUAGAUAUUCGGAAGAACACCAAUGGCGAAGGCAGCUCGCUGGGACGUUACUGACGCUGAGACGCGAAAGCGUGGGGAGCAAACAGG
rnacentral:rRNA from 1 species